rnacentral:rRNA from 1 species
CCCCUAGAUGUCCUGGGUCGCACGCGCGCUACACUGAUGCAUGCAACGAGUUUAUAACCUUGGCCUGAAAGGUCUGGGUAAUCUUUUGAACGUGCAUCGUGAUAGGGAUAGAUUAUUGCAAUUGUUAAUCUUGAACGAGGAAUUCCUAGUAAACGCGAGUCAUCAGCUCGCAUUGAUUACGUCCCUGCCCUUUGUACACACCGCCCGUCGCACCUACCGAUUGAAUGGUUCGGUGAAGAUCUCGGACUUCGAUAUUUAUUCUUUAUUGAGUUUAUAUUGUGGGAAGUUAUCUAAACCUCAUCAUUUAGAGGAAGGUGAAGUCGUAACA